rfam:Myotis brandtii contig208591, whole genome shotgun sequence.
GGGUGUUCUCAGGUGAUGCACCCCAGAAUUAGGCUCCCUUUUCUCUGGUUCCCGGUGCGUUACCUGAGAACCACA